CCAUUUGGAAAGGAAAAACUAGUGGAUUUGAGUUGGUUUUUCUCCCUCUCUUGCUACAAGCUGGUUUGGAAACCUGGGGGAUGGCUUUUGAAGCUUGGGAAUUGAUGUUUGACUAUUUUCUUCCACCUUAACUCAGCAGGAACUGAGUUGAAAUUCUGUGAGCUUGUGAAAACGGAAGUAAAGGCAUUUUGGGCCAUGAUUCUUCGAUCUUUACUCAGUUAAAACUGAGUCGGAGCUGAACAAGGUGGUAAAAGUGCUUUGAAUGGAAUAUAGUGACCUUUAGAACUGGCUUUGCUGCGAGUUAUCAAUUCCAAAUCAGGGGAAAAAGGCCCGAUUGAAGCUAUUGGGAGGUAUAUCACUUAUGAGCUUGUUAAUUAGAUAUAAUAGUUAUAGUUUUGAUGCAAUUCGGAUACAUGAUUUCAGCGAAUUUGUGGCAGAAAAUCAGAUUCAAUUGAGCUAAAUUGGUGACUAGUAUGAGCUAAUUUGGAAUACUUUAACUUGCUUGGAAGUGAAGAUUUAGUUUUGGUCUAAACCUAGAUUUUCUGAUCUGGCUCAGCUGAGUUUAGAGAGCUUUCUAAGGUUGGAUUUGGAGUUCCAACCUGAGGAUGAAGUCAGGAAUUAAGCCUUAACUCUAUAUCAGGAUACUAGGAGGCUUCGGAUACUUUCGCUCGCUAAAUCAACGAGAGUUGUCAACAUAUUGGUGGGUCGGACCUUCUCGAAAUGGGUGAAUUUCCUCUAUGAUUGCUUUGAUAUUACGAGUUAAACUUAUUGCAUAGCCUCAUGGGUAAAAGAGAACCUCUAUAUAGUAGAGGUAAAGUACGAAUAUGUUUUGCAUCUAGAGAUUAUUUGCUAGUCGGGCAUGUAUUACAUGACAUUAAGAUAUUUGUGAAAACAAGCUUAAUAAGUCAUGAAAAUGGUACUUAGUUGAAUGUAUAACUAAAUGGAUAGUAUAUGAUCGGUUUUAACCUCCAAGUUAUAUUAUGCUAUUCCAUAUUGUCAACAUAAUAUCUGAAACCAGAGCAUAUCAGACAGAAUGAAAUGAAUUGAGUAUACUUUGGUAAUGAAGAAUAACUGGACUACAAGCAGAUAAAGAGCAUUUGCCUGUUUAUGUCAUGCAGAUGCUUUCCACCUUUAAAGAAUAGAACUUGGUUAACUGCAUGUGUUAUGCUUGAUCUUGUUGGGUAACUAGAUUAUGGUAUUGUGAUAUAACCUGCAUGUUAUUCUACUGAAGGUAAUCUCAUAAAUAUCUAAAGUUGAACAUCAGACCAUCUCUGUACAAUGCAAUAGGGGAAUUGCAUAUGACUUGGUUACUCCAAGUAGGAGAGGAUUACAUGGAACUAUAGGAUAUGUGCCAUGAGUUAUUAGAGAUGACCUUAGAAAUCACUUUCCUUGUAUAUAGGGAAUAGUGUGAGGAUUUUAAAUGUGUAAUUGUGGGUAUAGCCUAUUAUGAUGUUAAAUUAUCAUUAUUCAAGUUAUACUAACUGUUGGUCAAAGUAUGUCAAUAAGUAGUUGAUAGUGACUUAUGAUUUGGGUACUACAAUGUCGACCUUAUAUCGAAUUGAGAUUCCAUGUCAGAGACAUGAUGAAGUGGUGAUACCUAUACUGUGAAUUACAGCUUGCAUGCCAUUGUGCUCAUUUGCACACGCUUGUGGGGAGGGAUCGCGCCCCCAAGCCAGCGCUCCGGAGUGGCUUAGCGACAGAUUGCUCGCUUAUGUAUGAAGUGAACGCCAAAAUGGAUUGCCG